AGUGAACGCUGGCGGUAGGCCUAACACAUGCAAGACGAACGGCAGCACAGGAGAGCUUGCUCUCUGGGUGGCGAGUGGCGGACGGGUGAGGAAUACAUCGGAAUCUACUCUGUCGUGGGGGAUAACGUAGGGAAACUUACGCUAAUACCGCAUACGACCUACGGGUGAAAGCAGGGGACCUUCGGGCCUUGCGCGAUUGAAUGAGCCGAUGUCGGAUUAGCUAGUUGGCGGGGUAAAGGCCCACCAAGGCGACGGUACGUAGCUGGUCUGAGAGGAUGCUCAGCCACACUGGAACUGAGACACGGUCCAGACUCCUACGGGAGGCAGCAGUGGGGAAUAUUGGACAGUGGGCGCAAGCCUGAUACAGCCAUACCGCGUGGGUGAAGAAGGCCUUCGGGUUGUAAAGCCCUUUUGUUGGGAAGGAAAUCCAGCUGGCUAAUACCCGGUUGGGAUGACGGUACCCAAAGAAUAAGCACCGGCUAACUUCGUGCCAGCCGCCGCGGUAAGAC
rnacentral:rRNA from 1 species